UUGCUCCGACUGGUCAAUAUUCACUAAAGUUUUGAACCUGAUCCUUACAUAAGUUAUUAUUUUCAUGCCAGCUCUGUUGUGGCUUACUCGAAUUUCUUUCUUUGUGGCAGUUUGCUGAUCUGUAGAUUGAGCGAGGUUCUAUACUCAUGAUGUAAAAUUAUAUAUUACAAUUUCACAAUUUCACAAUUCACGUACACUUCUGCCUUAAUAUUACCAUUAGUAAAGCAAGUAGGUGUCAGAAAUUUUUGGUGUGCAACUAUACGGUUAGUAGUUCAAUUGAUGCUUUUAUAAUAAAGUAAGGUAUGUGUCUUUUUACAUACAACAUAUGUUUCAAUUUCUAUUUAUACAAAAUGUGUGCAACAUAUGCUAAAAAGAAUGUGUUGAUGAUCUGCUCCAUCAUGUAUCAAUUUAAAAAUUAUGCAAACGUACGCUCAAAAAGAAGAAAUAAAUGUAAGCCAACACGGACCACACAUCUUUAUUUAAUCAUGAUUUAGGAUAUCGUAAUUCACAUAUAAAAAAAAUGUAAUUGAAGUUAUUUAGUUUCCUAUAUAUAUGGUGAUAUGAAGUUAUUUAAUUAUAGAAUAGUUUAAUGCAACAUCAUGUCGCUAUGCCUCCUGAUGCCAUGGGAAAGAUAACAUAUGUUGCUCCGACUGGUCAAUAUUCACUAAAGUUUUGAACCUGAUCCUUACAUAAGUUAUUAUUUUCAUGCCAGCUCUGUUGUGGCUUACUCGAAUUUCUUUCUUUGUGGCAGUUUGCUGAUCUGUAGAUUGAGCGAGGUUCUAUACUCAUGAUGUAAAAUUAUAUAUUACAAUUUCACAAUUUCACAAUUCACGUACACUUCUGCCUUAAUAUUACCAUUAGUAAAGCAAGUAGGUUACCAAGGCAACAAGAAGUAUGCAGUAUGCUUACUGUCCAUAAAUCAAAAAGAUUGUAGAUAGAAAAGAAC
rnacentral:lncRNA from 1 species